GUGCGGCGCGAUUCGCCCUUGGGUUCGAUUCCGGAGAGGGAGCCUGAGAGAUGGCUACCACAUCCAAGGAAGGCAGCAGGCGCGUAAAUUGCCCGAAUCCUGACACAGGGAGGUAGUGACAAGAAAUAACAAUACAGGGCUUCUAAAGUCUUGUAAUUGGAAUGAGUACAAUUUACAUCUCUUCACGAGGAUCAAUUGGAGGGCAAGUCUGGUGCCAGCAGCCGCGGUAAUUCCAGCUCCAAUAGCGUAUAUUAAAGUUGUUGCAGUUAGAACGCUCGUAGUCGGAUUUCGGGGCGGGCCGACCGGUCUGCCGAUGGGUACGCACUGGUCGGCGCGUCCUUCCUUCCGGAGACCGUGCCUACUCUUAACUGAGCGGGGGCGGGAGACGGAUCGUUUACUUUGAAAAAAUCAGAGUGUUUCAAGCAGGCAGCUCGCUCUUGCAUGGAUUAGCAUGGGAUAAUGAAAUAGGACUUUGGUGCUAUUUUGUUGGUUUCGAACACCGAAGUAAUGAUUAACAGGGACAGUCAGGGGCACUCGUAUUCCGCCGAGAGAGGUGAAAUUCUCAGACCAGCGGAAGACGAACUACUGCGAAAGCAUUUGCCAGGGAUGUUUUCACUGAUCAAGAACGAAAGUUAGGGGAUCGAAGACGAUCAGAUACCGUCGUAGUCUUAACCAUAAACCAUGCCGACUAGGGAUUGGAGGAUGUUCUCUUUAUGACUCCUUCAGCACCUUACGGGAAACUAAAGUCUUUGGGUUCCGGGGGGAGUAUGGUCGCAAGGCUGAAACUUAAAGGAAUUGACGGAAGGGCACCACCAGGUGUGGAGCCUGCGGCUUAAUUUGACUCACACGCAAG
rnacentral:rRNA from 1 species